rnacentral:tRNA from 1 species
CGGGGCGUGGGGCAGUCCGGUAGCCCACUAGCAUGGGGCGCUAGGAGUCGCUGGUUCAAAUCCAGUCGCCCCGACCA